UACAGAGGGUGCAAGCGUUGUUCGGAAUCAUUGGGCGUAAAGCGCACGUAGGCGGCCUGCUAAGUCGGAUGUGAAAGCCCCAGGGCUCAACCCUGGAAGUGCAUUCGAAACUGGCGGGCUUGAAUGUCGGAGAGGGCAGUGGAAUUCCGAGUGUAGAGGUGAAAUUCGUAGAUAUUCGGAGGAACACCAGUGGCGAAGGCGACUGCCUGGACGAACAUUGACGCUGAGGUGCGAAAGCGUGGGGAGCAAACAGGG
rnacentral:rRNA from 1 species